rnacentral:sRNA from 1 species
UAAGGGUCGAAAGGGCAUGAAGCGAUCAUGCUUGCAUGAAUCGCGAUAUGGCUUUGAGACCCGCGAGAACAUGAGGAAGUAGCAAUUUGCGAAGCAGAUUAGCGGAUUCCGAAUGUUCUCAGAAUUGCGGGAGUUUCGAAGAAACGUAGCAAUUCGC